rnacentral:rRNA from 1 species
AUUGAACGCUGGCGGCAUGCCUUACACAUGCAAGUCGAACGGUAACAGGUCUUCGGACGCUGACGAGUGGCGAACGGGUGAGUAAUACAUCGGAACGUGCCCGAUCGUGGGGGAUAACGAGGCGAAAGCUUUGCUAAUACCGCAUACGAUCUACGGAUGAAAGCGGGGGAUCUUCGGACCUCGCGCGGACGGAGCGGGCGAUGGCAGAUUAGGUAGUUGGUGGGAUAAAAGCUUAGCAAGCCGACGAUCUGUAGCUGGUCUGAGAGGAUGAUCAGCCACACUGGGACUGAGACACGGCCCAGACUCCUACGGGAGGCAGCAGUGGGGAAUUUUGGACAAUGGGCGAAAGCCUGAUCCAGCCAUGCCGCGUGCAGGAUGAAGGCCUUCGGGUUGUAAACUGCUUUUGUACGGAACGAAAAGCCUCUUUCUAAUAAAGAGGGGUCAUGACGGUACCGUAAGAAUAAGCACCGGCUAACUACGUG